UCCCAGGUGGCAGAGUGGUAAAGAAGGUGCCUGCCAAAGCAGGAGACGUGGGUUCGAUUCCUGGCUUGGGAA
rnacentral:tRNA from 1 species